GCACUGGUAGUUCAGUGGUAGAAUGCUCACUUUUCAUAUGUGACACUUGGGUUCGAUUUCCAGCCAGCACA
rnacentral:tRNA from 1 species